GAUGAACGCUGGCGGCGUGCCUAAUACAUGCAAGUCGAGCGAACAGACGAGGAGCUUGCUCCUCUGACGUUAGCGGCGGACGGGUGAGUAACACGUGGAUAACCUACCUAUAAGACUGGGAUAACUUCGGGAAACCGGAGCUAAUACCGGAUAAUAUAUUGAACCGCAUGGUUCAAUAGUGAAAGACGGUUUUGCUGUCACUUAUAGCUGGAUCCGCGCCGCAUUAGCUAGUUGGUAAGGUAACGGCUUACCAAGGCAACGAUGCGUAGCCGACCUGAGAGGGUGGUCGGCCACACUGGAAGUGAGACACGGUCCAGACGCCUACGAGAGGCAGCAGUAGGGAAUCUUCCGCAAUGGGCGAGAGCCUGACGGAGCAACGCGGCGUGAGUGAUGAAGAUCUUCGGAUCGUAAAACUCUGUUAUUAGUGAAGAACAAAUGUGUAAGUAACUAUGCACGUCUUGACGGUACCUAGUCAGAAAGCCACGGCUAACUACGUG
rnacentral:rRNA from 1 species